GUGGGGAAUCUUGCGCAAUGGGCGAAAGCCUGACGCAGCCAUGCCGCGUGGAUGAUGAAGGUCUUAGGAUUGUAAAAUCCUUUCACCGGUGAAGAUAAUGACUGUAGCCGGAGAAGAAGCCCCGGCUAACUUCGUGCCAGCAGCCGCGGUAAUACGAAGGGGGCUAGCGUUGCUCGGAUUUACUGGGCGUAAAGGGCGCGUAGGCGGACAUUUAAGUCAGGGGUGAAAUCCCGGGGCUCAACCUCGGAACUGCCUUUGAUACUGGGUGUCUUGAGUAUGAGAGAGGUGUGUGGAACUCCGGGUGUAGAGGUGAAAUUCGUAGAUAUUCGGAAGAACACCAGUGGCGAAGGCGACUCACUGGCCCAAUACUGACGCUGAGGCGCGAAAGCGUGGGGAGCAAACAGGAUUAGAAACCCUAGUAGUCC
rnacentral:rRNA from 1 species